UACGUAGGGGGCAAGCGUUGGUCCGGAAUCAUUGGGCGUAAAGAGCGUGUAGGCGGCCAGAAAAGUCCGCUGUGAAAACUCGAGGCUCAACUUCGAGCUGUCGGUGGAAACUUUCUGGCUAGAGUCCGGAAGAGGAGAAUGGAAUUCCUGGUGUAGCGGUGAAAUGCGCAGAUAUCAGGAAGAACACCCGUGGCGAAGGCGGUUCUCUGGGACGGUACUGACGCUGAGACGCGAAAGCGUGGGGAGCGAACAGG
rnacentral:rRNA from 1 species